CAGAAAAAGGGGCAGGCUCCAGAGAGCCAAUUGAGUUGGUCAGAUGUGAGAUUUAACAAAGAUUUCAGAUUAGCUAUUAUAAAUAUAUUUGGAGAACUAAAGAAACCAGGGUUAAAGAAGUAAGGGAAAGUAUGAUGACAGUUUCUAUCAAAUAGAGAAUGUCAAUUAAGAGAAAUUAUAAAAAACUAGUUGGAAAUUCUGAGUUUGAAAAGUAUGAAAUGAAAAAUUCACUAGAGGGGCUCAAUGAUAGACUUGAAUUGGCAGAAGAAACAAUUAGCAAAUUUGUAGUUAGAUUGAUAGAGAUUAUGCAUUCUGAAGAACAAAAAAGAGUGAAGAAUAAUGAACAGAAUCUCAGAGAAAUGUAGGAUACCAUUAACUGUAUUAGCAUAUAUGUAAUGAAAAUACCAAGGGAAGGAAAGAGCAUACUUUAAGAAACAAUGGGUGAAACUUCCCAAAUUAACUGAAAAACAUUCAUCUGCAUAUUUUGGAACCUUAGUGAACUCCAAGUAGGAUAAAUUGCAAGAGAUUCACAGACGCCUCAAAAUAAAGAUGCUGAAAGUCAAAGAAAAGGAGAAAAUCUUGAAAGCAGGAAGAGAAAAGCAACUCAUCACUUACAAGGGAACCCCCAGUAAAAUUAAUAGUUAGUUUCUUAUCAGACAGAGGGCAUAAUACAGUGGGAUAACACAAUCAGAAGUGCUGAAAGAGAAAAAAUUGCCAACCUGGGUGCCUGGGUGGCUGUCUGACUUCGG